GAGUAGAAGGAGGAGGAGGAGGUGGCGCGCGCUGAGCGGGUGCCCGGAGGAAACGUUGUAAGAAACGGCACGAGGGAGGGAGAAAGAAAGAGAGCGAGCGAGCGCGAGAAGGACGUUCCUUUGUGUGUUGUGGGCUAGAAGGGAGUCGCAUUCACGGUAUCGAUCCGUAUCGAUCCAGCUCGGUCCCGCGGUCGGCGGUUCGGAAACGGAGAGAAACCCUGACAAGAAAAUAAUGUGGAACAUGUCGCAGAGCGGAGCGGCGCGUGUCUGACUCUGUGCGGAGGCAGCGGGAGCGCAGGCGCGAGGCGGAGGGACCGAGCUGAGCUGAGGCGAACGGGACAGAAAAUUGCGGACGGAGCCUCCUGUCCAUGUUAAUGUCCGCCGACGUCGCUUCCAUGAUGCUGCCCGUGUCUCGGGGUUUGAUGGACCGGGAGAGGGACCUGGACCUUCACCCGAGCCCCAGCGGCGGCGGGGGUUCCUCGGGGGUCGGGCGCGGGACCAAGAGGGGCGACCCCGAGCCGGACGCGCACGCUGCUGCCGCGCCGCCCUUCAGCGAGUCCCCGGGGGCGGAGUGCAAGAGGGCGCGGAUGGACGCCGCAUGCGGGCAGGGCUCUCAGGACUCUCCAGGGGGUCAGGAGGGGUUGGUCCCCCCACCCUUCUCUGCCUUCCAGCCACCUCCACCUCCUCCCCCACAGAAUGGGCUGGGAUUAGAGUUUGGAGGGACCCUUUUUAAUUCUGGAGGACAGAGGCAAGCUGAGGCUGGAGUAGGGACUAGCGGGUCCACAGCUGCCCCCAGUAGCUUGAACCCCACGCGAACGGAUGGUGCCUUGCAAGCUGAUGGAGCGACUCAGUGCGGGACACAGGCAGGGAGCGGAACAACUGGAGGACCUGCUGGUGGGGACUCAUCAGAGAGCAAAGUGACCCCAAAACGACUGCAUGUCUCAAACAUACCAUUCCGCUUCCGGGAUCCUGAUCUCAGGCAGAUGUUCGGGCAAUUUGGAAAAAUCCUUGAUGUUGAGAUCAUCUUUAAUGAGAGAGGUUCAAAGGGCUUCGGCUUCGUGACAUUCGAGUCGAGCGCGGACGCGGACAAGGCCAGAGAGCGGCUCCACGGCACCCUAGUGGAGGGGCGCAAGAUAGAGGUGAAUAAUGCCACAGCCAGGGUGAUGACCAACAAGAAACUAGUCAGCCCUUAUCCCAACGGGGAAACCCUGACUGCGCUGCCCUAUGCAGGCUGGAAGCUGAGUCCAGUGGUGGGCGCUGUAUACGGACCAGAACUCUACGCAGGUGAGAUAAUUCCGGGGUUCCCAUACCCCACGGCUGCAGCUGCUGCCACCACAGCGGCUGCCUUCCGUGGUGCUCAUCUGAGGGGUCGAGGUCGACCCGUGUACAGUGCCGUACGAGCAGCCGUGCCCCAGCCCGCCAUCCCAGCCUACCCGAGUGUGGUGUAUCAGGAUGGGUUUUAUGGAGCUGCCGAUCUGUAUAAUAGUGUUUCAGGACACUGUCAUUAGUGCCAGAUUGCCUCAGGGUGGCUUUGCGGCCUAUCGCUAUGCUCAGCCUGCUGCGGUAACUGGGGCAACGGCUGCGGCAGCUGCAGCAGCUGCAUACAGCGACAGUUAUGGCCGUGUUUACACCGCAGACCCCUACCAUGCUCUGGCCCCAGCGGCAGCUGCUGCUUAUGGAGUGGGAGCAAUGGCCAGCCUUUACCGAGGUGGAUACAGUAGGUUUGCUCCUUACUAAAGGAGCCCCACCUUCUUGAACCUCCCUCUCUCAGCUCCCUUUUCAUUUCUCGAGUUUGGAAAGAGCGCCUUCUGCUAUAUUUAAGCACAGAGACGUACUUUAUGAAGCAUCACAAUUGUACAGAGGUAGGAACAUCUGGACAGCUACUACUGCUGUGAACUCAAGACGGCGCUGAUUCGAAAGCAGUUAGCUCUUCAGUUGCGUGUGCAGCAAGUCCACAUGCACUGAUGCUGUUUGGCAAGAGCAGAACAACGGGCGUGAAUGUUUGUUUAAUCAAUCUUGUGGCCAAUAGCACACCUCUCAGGAACGUGCGUGUGAUAUGCGUCUACGUCUUUGCAUCUGUACACGCUACGUUGGAACAGAUCAGCAAAGCCACUGCUCCCCCCAGUACCCCACCUGAGGUGUAAAUGUAGAAGAGUGGAUCUGCCACACAAACCAAGCUUGGGAAAAGGAGACGACACAUGUUCAAACCUACAUCAAGUGAUGAAUAUCAGAUCAUGCUUCAAAUUUUGGGGGGUUUACCUUUUUGACUGCAACACAUUGCAGAAGUGUUGAUUCAGUACCUCCCCAGUGUUUUACAGUUGUGAACAGAAAAUCAACAGACAAGGAAGAUAAAAUGUUCUCUUUUUAAUAUGGGUUACCUCAUGAAAUAAACAUUUCAACAUGAUAGUUAUCACAGUGUACCUUAGUAAAAAUUAGAUAACCUGGCUGGGUAAGUUUUGCUGAACUCAAAAUAUUAUGAUUGUUAUGAAUAUUAUUACUAUUUUUCAAUUUUCCCUUGAAUUAUUCUUCCUUUUUGCUGAUUACUAGAACAAUUGAUUAUUGCUAUUGUUUCCAGUAUACUGCUUUGUUCUGGUCUCUUAGGCAUUUCCUCACACACUACUACAUGUAAAUAUGUGUUUACCCUGUAGCUUGGAAGUAGGACGACGCUGCUUUGGCGUGCAGACAGGAAGGAUGGGGGUGUUGUGUUAGUUCUGCCAGACAGCAGUACCUACCUGCCUGCUGGACCCCAGAGGAGCAGAAGGGUCUGUAUUUAGUUUGGUAACUGGGCCCAUGAGCUGAACUAACACAGCAGCCUUACAGGUGUGACCUUUCUAAACACUGAGGUCAUUUUUGUAAGCUCAGUGUGUCGGGCUACUUCACGUCUACAGCAAAUGCAGUGUCCCCCCCCUCUCUUGUCUUGGGAGAAUAAUCUUGUCGUCUGUGUGUGGAGGUCACUGCCAGUUAUUCUUUUUAAUGACGGAAGAGGGAGUACAACCUAAAAAAUGUUUAAAAAAAACUUUUUCUGUUUAUUUCCAUAUUUUCCAAAUGUGGUUAUUUUAAUUUACUUUGGAUUCCAAAGAUUCAGCCGACGCAUAUUUCUGGCCACACGUAUACACUUUAUUAUUAUUAUUGCUAUUGUUAUUGAUGUCUUGACGUUAUUUUACUUUUAUAUUCUGAUGUAUACAGUAGUACUUUGGUGCCUGUUGCCUUUUUGAAGAGGCUUGCUGAGAUGCUGUUCUCAGAGGUGUCUCUGUAACAGGAUGAUGGAAAUGUUGAAGAAACACCAAGUGAAAACAAUAAGUUAAAUAACUUACACCCGCCUUCCAAGAAAACUGACAAGGAAAGCUACACUUCAUGCUGCAUUGUAUUUGAGUCACGGAAGAUUGAUUUCACCCCGUAGCUCAGGAGUUUUCAGCUCUGUUUCCUGCAGGCCACAGCUUAGGUGCUCCUUGUUCCAGCCAAUUUUUACUCUUAAAUGAGAAAAAAUUAUCUGUAUAAGUGUGAACAGUUAAAGCUGCCUCACAUUUAGAUGAACAUUACACCGUGCAUUUCUGUUUACAGAAUCACAAGUUCAGCUUAUGGUUGCAAUUGGCAAAAUUCCUACUUAAGAGAUCUGCUCCAGCAAAAACCCACCAUAAACUGGGACCUCGAGGAAUGGAAGCCCAGCACCCUGUCCUUGCUGUAAUAAAUGCGAAAGGGGGCCUGUAUACGCAGAGUGCAACCCUUGGGGGUCAAGUGUAUGAAAGUGGAAAAAGUGUGGAAGUGUGUGAACGAAGGGCUUCAGGGGAGUGUUCAUGAGUAUUUCACAGCUGAGCUGUAUGUAAUUGUGUUUUAACUGGGAAUGUGACUUGUGUCAUUUUUGGAGUUGAUGAAACUUGUCAGGUGAAGUCACUGAGCGGUUAAAAAUACGCAGGGAGACCACUAGACUGGACAUGUGAAGUGAAGAAUUGUGCAGAGCAAAGUGUUGCUGUUAAUGAGCUGACAUAACAGGGGCAUGGAUUGUUGUGUGUAGCAUGGGCAGGAGGUUGAGGGACAUCCUAGGACAAGGGUUUGGGCUGUUCAUAUGUCUCCUAUGCUCUUUACUACAGUAGCACAAAAAAGAAUUGCAGUACUGAUGUCAGUGGUGUCAUGUUACUCAUGGUCCCAGGCAUGUAUGAUACAGUGGCGGGUUGGUAAUGAUGUAAAAAACGGGGUCCAAAUGCACAUGUUAUAAUUGACGUUAUGGGGUCUCGCUUUUUUUUUUUUUUUCCCUCCCCUUCUCUAGCAUGUAAUAAUUAAAAAGGAAGACUGCCAUGAAUGUGGCAAUUUGUUUUAUUUCCUGUUUUAACAUGCCUGUUUUAGUGGAACCUUUAAGUUCAAUAAAAAAAAGAAAGUCCACCUAUGCUCUUGGAAAUUAGUGAUGUAUCUUUAUCUUCAUAUUACCACUGCACACAUUAUUACUGUACUUAAACAAAUCACUGCAUUGCACUAUAUGUGUACCUCUUCAGCACAGGGCCUGGGCACCUGCAGUGUAUUGGUUCUCGCUCCUGAACUCUUGGCUUAAUUUAUUGAUUUGAGCAGGGAAUUUAACCAGCACAUCUUCUCAAUUAGUUUUUUCCCCCUAAAUUUUUUUGAGAUUUUUCUGUGCUACAAAGAAAUUAAAGCAUCUUCCCUCUUCACUGUUGAACUUCAAUGGCAAUAAUUAUUUCAGUUGUAUGAAGUUUUCCAUUUUUCAUUGAAUGAAUGGCUAGCUCCUAAGUCAAAGUGCUUAAGUUGUUCAUUAUAUUAAUGCAGUACUAGUUUCUGAUACUUUGUUCUAGGCACACAGAUGCGCUUAAUGUGAAUUCAUAUUAAGGCAACACGUCAAGCGAUGAAUAUCGGUAAUGUUUCUUACAAAGACCCUGUGGCGUGUCCCUGCUCAAAGGUAAUGGGUAAAAGUUCAGCUGAGUCAAAGUAACGAAGGCUGCUUGGAGUCACAGCACAUGGAGGCUAAACACAGGCCCUGGAUUUCAAUCUUACUGAAGUGAAAUGUUGGUUUUGAUUUCCUUUUGGUUUUGUGGAAGUUCCAUUGUCAUCUUUAGUUUCCACUCAUUGUGUGCUCAUGUUUUUUGCUUUCUCAAAAGUGUUAGCAGUAAAAUUCUCGCCUUUCUUCCCAUUUUUCACAUUUCAUGGUUCUUUUUUGUUUACUGUUAAAUGUACAUAAAUUUUUUAAGAAAUUUUGUCUUGCUGCCUGUUUAAUCUUCACUGUUACCUGUGUUGCAUUGUUGACGAUGUACUUCUGAAUAAAGACAUACCAGAAGUUGGAUAUUGUUCCAGAAGUGUGUGUUGGAAAUGGUACUGUGACAAUGCACAACUAAAAUAUUUCAAAAUACGGGUAUGUUUCUAUCCUAUGACCACAGCCCUUAUAAAUUAACGUGCCUUUGGAAUAAUCUGCAGAUAAAAUGGAAUUUAACAGAUGUUUGAUUGUGAUAUGUGCUGAGUUUGGUGUGGUUAUAAAUGUGUCAACGGACAAUUAUGGAGGGAUGGUGGUUCCAAGCAGAAU